CGAUGGCGAUGGCGAUGAUGAUGAUGAUGAUGAUGAUGAUGAUGAUGAUGUUCAUCAUCAUCGUCAUCGUCAUCGUCAUCAUGAUGU
rnacentral:pre_miRNA from 1 species